rnacentral:lncRNA from 1 species
GGUGAAGAACGGGAUAUGCAGAGCAAGAGUAGAGACCUGAGGUUCUUCCUGUGAGUUCCAAGCAAAGGGGUGAUGAUGAGAACAGUGGUGGUGUAAAGUCAUCGUGUAUGAGGAAAUACAUCUGGGAAGUUAAAUGGUACAUGCAAGGGGACAGAGACAAGUACUGAAGAAAUAGAAUUUACAGGCUUCCAGAUGAGGAUGAGAGAUUCUCUGGCUUUACUGGCAAUCCCUGGAUUCUCCUGGUGCUCCUGCUGCAGGUACAGACACACAACCAUGACCACGGUCACUGCCCUCAGUAAGUAGUGUUCAUAGUGCUCAUUACUACCCACUGGGUAGUAGGGCUCAUGACUACCUUCUGAUCACUUAGUGAAUUAGUCUUCCAAUCAGUAAAGACUCCAUCUCCAAUCAUGUAUCUAAAUUUCUAACCCUGGUUGGGACCUACCACCUGCAUCUCAUUGUUCUUCUCCACUUCAGCUUGGGCUCUCAAUUACUAGACCAACUCUGAUUUAAACAUACUCUGGAGUUCCUGAGAAAUUCCUCUAUUUCUUGGCUUUAAAUGUUUAACUCAGUCCCUUUCAACCCACAAAAAUGACUCACGGGCCAGCGUGUUAGUUCUGGACCCAGACUUUGAUCCAAAAAUUCUGAUUGGCCUUUGGUUUCUUCUGACCCGUCAUCUAAUAACACAACGAUGCUGCUGAUCUCCCUGAUGAAUAUUUUUAACGAGGUUGAAAGCUCGUAAGAACACUUAAAAUCCCUAUUUUUGAUAUAAACAAUUAUCUGUGUUAUGGUAAAAAAAAAAAAGGUGAAAAAUGUUUUGUUCCUCUUACAAAAAAGACUUUCUACCUUUUAAUCUCUUAGUUUAGAAGAGAAAUAAAAGUUCUAUUACUUAAUGGACACUCUUGUGAAAUAAGCCUGUGCAUUUGUCAAAAGAAACUAUUGUCAGUACUUCAAACAUUCUAAUUCAAAUAGCACAGAUAAUGUAAACUCACUUUAAUCUUCUUGAAAACGUCUCCAAACGAGGAAAGAAGAAAAAAAACCCUUUUGCUCUUGAUGUUGCAUUUUAUGAGCGAUCCUUUGCUUCUUUGCUGAUUAAAAGGCUGACUCUCUGUUUCUUUGCUGAUUUAAUGAGGAUUCUCUUAAAUGCCAUUGUCGUUUAUGGAGAAUAUUUGCCAGGAAGAUAGCCUAAAAGACUUUACCUCAAAGGACUGAAAGGUCAGCCCGACGUGGUAGCUCUCAGACACUGUUAUUUUCCACACACAUUCUUUCAUCGGGCGAUAGUCAUCAGGAUAAUUGGGAGACUGAAUCUGUCCUUCAUUUUUACGUAUCUCACCUCCACAGAUCGCUGAAGAAAGCCAAAAAAUAAACAAAUAACUAAGCCUGGACAUGCUAUUUCAUUUUCAUUUUCUUCUAGGGUAACAUUGAAGUUCAGCUCCUGUAGCUCAGUACAUAAAGACCAGGCUAUAAAAAUCAAAGUUGACUGGUUGUAAUGUAGCAAAUAUUUAUGUGGUAAAAAAAACCUAGUAAAGUAACUACAAAUAUUAGAUAAUGGUCAAGGAAUAAAUAAUUUUUAAUCCUAUCUUAACGAAAAGGUAUUUUUUAACCUUUAAAAACCUUUAGUGGCUUUGUGAAUUUAUUCUCUGUGAGUUUGUUCUGUGAUUCUCUGAGCUGCUUCCUUUGGUCUUUCGACCACAGGUAAAAUAGCUCAUCAGAAGAGGAGCCUCAUCCUGAACAGAACUCACUGGGUCUCUGGCAGCGAGUUAGUGUCAUGUGCGCAGCGUCCGUGACUCCCUCCAAAUAAUCCUCUUCACUACUAGGCAGUUAAUCCUUAAAACAAAAUGCUUCCGUUUACUUAAAAGUUUAAGGGAAGCAGAAAUCUUCUGUCUUCAAAAUUACUUAAACUGCUGUACUAGGAAGUGUCUCCUCCACCCACAACCUGGCAAGAAAGGAGCUGGUUUUAAAGCCAAGAAAGCACAAUGCCAGUUUAUUGUUUUAGAGAAGCAUAAAACAAAGCAUUUAAUAAGUCCUUCCUCAAAUGCUGACUCUCUUAUUUAGAUAAAGCAUGCCUCAGAAAUCGGCACAAUUACUUUCUGUGCAAUUUCCUCUAAUAAAAAGUAUUUCGGGAAUACAGGGACCAAACAGACACAAAAUCAGUACAAAGGAAAAUGAUAAUUUCUUCAUAAUGUUUUAAAACUAUCAUGAAACAAUUAAACUUUAAGAAUUCUUGAGCCAUUUGCUUUUUUCUCCACACAUCCUGAACACAUUUAGAUAUUAUUACAUCACUGAUACUAGACAACAGGUUGUUCUUGCAAUUUAAAUUUACUGUUAAAAUUAUCUGUAUGAAUAUUAUAAUACAGAUUCAGAAAAAUUCAUAAUUUUACAAUAUGGUCACAAUGUCAUUGUAAUGAAAUUAAGAAACGAACAUUUCUGUUGAGAUAUAAGAUGAACUACUCUCUAAAAUUCAAUGUGACUUACCUUCAUAGACAGCUGCAAAGCCUUUUCCUACCCAAUUACUGCUGCUACGAAACUCAAUCCACAUUCUGCUGUCUGUAGAAGUAAGAACUUCAGGCAAUUUGUCCCCACAGAAUCUACC